GAGUUUGAUCAUGGCUCAGGACGAACGCUGGCGGCGUGCUUAACACAUGCAAGUCGAGCGAGGCCCUUCCUUCGGGAAGGUGCCCUAGCGGCGAACGGGUGAGUAACACGUGGGCAACCUGCCCCUAGCACUGGGAUAACUCCGGGAAACCGGGGCUAAUACCGGAUACGACCUCUCUGGGCAUCCUCAGAGGUGGAAAGGAUUCUGGCUAGGGAUGGGCCCGCGGCCUAUCAGCUUGUUGGUGGGUAAGUAGCCUACCAAGGCGACGACGGGUAGCCGGCCUGAGAGGGCGACCGGCCGACACUGGGACGUGAGACACGGCCCACGACUCCUACGGGAGGCAGCAGUGGGGAAGUCUUGCACAAUGGGCGAAAGCCUCGAUGCAGCGACGCCGCGUGAGGGAUGAC
rnacentral:rRNA from 1 species